GACGAACGCUGGCGGCGUGCUUAACACAUGCAAGUCGAACGAAGUGGCGAACGGGUGAGUAACGCGUAAUCAACCUGCCCUUCAGAGGGGGACAACAGUUGGAAACGACUGCUAAUACCGCAUACUGACGGCGGGGAUUGCGUCUGAUUUGCUAGUUGGCGGGGUAACGGCCCACCAAGGCGAUGCGAGGUAGCCGGUCUGAGAGGAUUAUCGGCCAAAGUGGGACUGAGACAUGGCCCAGACGCAUACGGGAGGCAGCAGUGGGUAAGCUUCCGCAAUGGACGAAAGUCGGACGGAGCAACGCCGCGUGAGUGAUGACGGCCGUCGGGUUGUAAAGCUCUGUUAAUCGGGACGCGGUACCGGAAUAGAAAGCCACGGCUAACUACGUGCCAGCAGCCGCGGUAAUAC
rnacentral:rRNA from 1 species